CAAGAUGUAGCUUAAAUACAAAGCACUCAGCCUACACCUGAAAAAUGCCCACAACUGGACCACCUUGA
rnacentral:tRNA from 1 species